CCUUCUUCUUCCUCUAGAUUGCUUCUCACAACACACUCUUUCAAACUCACACGCACACACACUAGCCAAAGAAAAGAACAAAAGCUUCGCUGAGACUCUCUCCUUUGGCAGCCACAAGUGCUAAAUUUUCUCUCUUCUCUUUUUUCAAUUCAACCAAAUGGGAUUACACUGCUUAAAUAGACUCACACACCUACUGCCCAGCAGCCACUCUCGGCCACUAACAUCACGUACCGACUAAUCUCUAACAAACUGACCCACUCACGCCAGUUCACAUGCACCCAUCUAAUCUUAUCUUGACCACUUCUUCCUCCUAGAAUCACUCUAGGCACAUGACCCUCACGCAGCUAACAAACUAACUGACUCACUCAGCUUGGCUAGACAAGAUUAAUCCUAACAUUCACCUCCCUAAUCUUGUCAUGUCAACUCCUCUAAUGUUGAUGCAGAUUACCUGCAACCUCUUUCCAUGAACUUUGCCUUUGCAGCACCGAGAUCACACAUGACAUCUUGCUGUGGAUGACGCUGUCAUAGCGCCUGUCACCGCCUCAUGGAUCUCCACUUGCACCAGCAUCGCACCUGGUCACGUACGUCUUGCCGCCGCCAUUGCAGCGACUCAUCUUGGGGAUGCCAUCACACCACCGAGGAUAACUUCAUGACGAUGAUGGCGUCACACCACCAUCGACUAGCUUUGCGCUGAUCCUCAUGACGACCUCGCGCCGCCGUACAUCUUCUCAGCAGCAUCUCACUGCCGUCUUCUUGGAACAGCAUCUCACCGUCGUCUUCUUGUGGCAGCAUUACACUGCCAUUACUAGCGCCCGACGGCAUCGCGCCGCCGCCGCACCGAGCUGCAUCGCACCGUCUCCUUCCUCUGGUGGUAUCACACCGCCGUCUCCUCCUCCUAGCGGCCUCGCACCGCAACUAGCCUCCGAGGACAUCAUGCCGCCGACAGCCUCCACCUCUCGCCGUCGUCCUCCACCUCACGUGGAGUCCGCCGCAUGCAUGCUAUCACACCGACCAUGGCCGCCACUCCAUAGCUGCCGUGCCAUGACCGCUGCGGCCUCCAUGCCGCCGUACAACACUGCCGCGUACCUCCAUAGGCCGACACACGGCCCGGAGCUUCAUCGCGCGCCACCGACGAACGCCGCCAUCGCCGGUACACCUCCGGCAAGAGCAACGAUGCCCCAAGACAACCAAGCUAAUGAUACCAAUUGUUGGAGCUGAAUCGCUCAGCCCCUUCUUCUUCCUCUCUUCAAAUGUUGGCGCUGCCUCUCAUAGCAGCCUUCUUCUUCCUCUAGAUUGCUUCUCACAACACACUCUUUCAGACUCACACGCACACACACUAGCCAAAGAAAAGAACAAAAGCUUCACUGAGACUCUCUCCUUUGGCAGCCACAAGUGCUACAUUUUCUCUCUUCUCUUUUUUAAUUCAACCAAACGGGAUUACACUGCUUAAAUAGACUCACACACGUACUGCCCAGCAGCCACUCUCGGCCACUAACAUCACAUACCGACUAAUCUCUAACAAACUGACCCACUCACGCCAGUUCACAUGCACCCAUCUAAUCUUAUCUUGACCACUUCUUCCUCCUAGAAUCACUCUAGGCACAUGACCCUCACGCAGCUAACAAACUAACUGACUCUCUCAGCU
rnacentral:lncRNA from 1 species